AGUUGAAGUGAUCAGCUUUCAAAUCCUUGAAAAGAUCAACUCUACAAAGGAAGUAAAAUAUUAAUUGAUGGAAGGAUUGAGGAUUUAUUUCAGUGGCUUAUGGCUGGGAACUUGAAGAAUUCUCAUCCCAGUGAUGUGAUAUCACCAAACUUCUUGGGGCUGAUUUUUUUGUGUGUAAAGUCACGUAAUGAAUCUUAUCAAAAACAGCAAGAAUAUUUAUGCUCAGGGAUGAAUGGAGGCUGCCUGUAUUUACCUUGAGAAAAAUACGUCUGGGUGCCCAGGAAAGUCUGAUUACAGAUCCUGAAAAUGAAACACACAAUAUGCAGAACUUCACUCACAAUAUCUGAAUCCAUGUUGGAAAUGGAACAAUUUAGGGAAAAUACCACAGAUAUUGGACAGACACAGUUUAUACUACCCAGAUGUCAAGGGAACCAGCCCAUGUUGUGACUCUACGGUCCUCUAGUAGUCUCCUUCCUAUACCCAGGGUUGAAUAGGAUAUGGUUGACCUCAGAAUAGGAAUUCAGAAAUCUCCCUGCCUGCCUCUUUGCCACCAAGAAAACAGAUACUGGUUCCCCAAACCCCUGAUUAAGAAAGAAGCUGGAAGAACAUGCAGAAGAAUUUUUCAAGACUGUUUUUCACAGUGGGACAGAAUGGCAGAGCCCUUGACUUAAUCAUAUAAAUCUUAACAUUCUACGCUCGGAGAAGAGCUCUGGGAAGCAUGAGACCACAAAGUGAACAAGCUCAAGCUAGCCUGCUGGAGGGUGAAAGGUCGUGUGGAGACUGGGGCGCUCCAUCCCACAGUUCGCCAGUCCAAGCCAACUUGCAAUUGAUUGAAGACCCAUAAAUGAGCCUCAGCCAAAACGUGUUAAGCUCAGCCCAGGUCAACAGAACUGCACUCAGCCUAAACCACUGAGCCAUAGCACUAUGAGCUAAUAAAUGCCUGUUUUAAGCCACAAAGUUUUAGCUGAUUCUUUGUAUAGCAAAAGUAAUUUAUACAACAUCUAAUAUAGUACCUAUUCUUUCCACUUGUAUAUCGCUCACAAAUUUGG